GAAAAAACCGUCGCUGCACGAAAAAUAGUGAAACAAAUAAAAUGACAAAAAUGUGGUCGUCGUGUGAACUGUGGCGAUGUCACCUCAUGCUGUUUAGCAGAUAAACAGCCUACUUCUUGAUUGGAAGAAACUAUACGGAUGUCGAUCUAGUUAAGGAUCUCUUCUUCCCUCUUUUCUUAAAUGUCCUCGUGUACACUUCAUGUGAAGUGUGGGUGUAUUCACGUGGACUCGUGUGAGUGUAUUUCGUGGACGUUUUCAUUAUCCCGACUGGUGAAUUCAACUUUUCUUCCAACGGUGAACUUGUGGAUGCCUGGCCGUAGUUCCCAGGCAUAAAGGUAGGAAAGUUUGAUUCCUACUCUUCCCUUUUGACUAUGGGGUAGACGUUCAUUAUAUCAAUUGUUGCGAUGUACGAUUACUUCUGAGCUAUGCGCUGCGGACUGAAACUGAUUACAUUUUUUCACGAGAAAAAAUCUUGGCAGGAAUUAUCAUAAAUGUUUUAAGCUCUUGAACUUUUCCCAAUACCCGCGCUUUCGCAAAGCGCCUUCCGAAUUUGAAUUUCUCUAUUUCUAGUUUUGAAAAGGGCGAAUUCAACGACAUCUAGCGGCCAUUUUCCGAACGAGCGUUUAG